AAGUUGUAACAAGGUUUCCGUAGGUGAACCUGCGGAAGGAUCAUUAGCAAAGUCCGGUUGACUCGAUUGACCUUUGGGUUGAUCGAUUGACACAAGUCCUUGUUGCUGUUGACUCGUGGUCUAAUUAGAUCACCUGUUGAUGGCAACAUGAUGAUAUAAAUGAAUAGUUGACAGUGUGAUUGCAAACAUAACAAUACUUUUAACAAUGGAUCUCUAGGCUCUU
rnacentral:misc_RNA from 1 species